rnacentral:tRNA from 1 species
GUCAAGAUGGCCGAGUUGGUCUAAGGCGCCAGUUUCAGGUACUGGUCCGAAAGGGCGUGGGUUCAAAUUCCACUCUUGACA